CAUUUCAUCUCCACAGAGUAAGAAAUUACAAAGGUCACAGGACCCAGAUCUGACUAAAUGAAAGUCUUCACUUGCCUACUUCUUCCAUUUGAAAACUAGAAUAUAAAAAAAAAAAACCCAUCUGUGUUUCUAAUAAAAUUCUGGAACAACUUCAGUGAUGAUCUGAAGAUCCGUAUGGAUCUUAUUAUAUUCCUCCUGCUUGCCAUAGGACUCUGGGAAUUGAGGAAAGCUGUGGAAGUUGGUUAUGAGGUUUUCAUUCCAUAUGAAGAUGAAGAAGAAGCUGGAUUCUAGAUAGAAGUCCUCCAGGAGGCAAAGAGAAGGGAGAAGGGAGUUUUCAGAAUGUGAGGUAAACACGUCUUUCAUUUGAACUAUUCAAAAUUUCUCAUUAAGUUAUGCUCUUGUGAAUGUGAAGAUUCCCCCACAUUGUAAUUCUUUUCCAGCAAGUUCUUACAUCUAUGCUUGAUGAGGCAGUUUCCGUCUUUAUCCAUUUUUAAUUUAUUUUUAACCAAGAAAUGUUGCUUUUUUUUUCGUGUUUACAGCCUUUUUUUUUCUGGUUACAUUUAUAGAAAAAUUAAUUCACAAACAUUGGUGACAUUAAUUGACAGAGCUCUGUGGACUUGCCUGACUUUGGUGGGGUUUUUUUUUUGUUGUUGUUUUUUUUCCCCUAAAGACCUCAAGGUCAUCUUACUUAAAAGAGAAAGUGUGCACUUGACUGUUUUGUUUACAAUGGAAGUUAUUUCCUUUUGUUAAAUGUUGCCAUCUACAGCUAUUUGUUUACAUAGAAAAGACUUUUUUUUUUUUUUUUUUUUUUUCUCCUAGAAAUACCAGGAACUUUGCUCUGUGUUAAUGGAAGGUAUUUGUCUAAUGUAUAAGGGCAUAGAUCUCUAGCUCCACUGGAAAAAGAAUGCAUGUUAAUAGAAGAGAGAGAUUUGAUCUAAUGUCACCUUUCCUUUCAAAUGUCACUGUUACACUGUAGUAUUGUCAGAGGGGUUUGCGCUCUUGGACAGAGUCUCUCAGAUUAUUGCUUUGGCAACUAGAGAAUGAGGUGCAUUCUUGCCAGCCCCAGAAAGAAGGUGGAGUGGCUGGUGCUUUACCUGGAAGAGGUAGACCUUCUCAAACAGGAGAUUUCCUCCAGCAUUCAAGUUGUUUUUCAGGCUGCCUUCUCAGAACUUUAGAAAAGGUGAACACUUUAAGCUGCUCUUUCAACUGUGUUGAAAGUACUUGGCUAGUUUUUUGCAUGUGAAUAUUUGUGAAAGAACAGUUUGUCUCCCAACUUCCUACCUUGCCAACCUAUCUGUGAGAAGCAGGCAGAUUUCAGGAUUGAAGUUUGUUAAUUAGACAGGUGGAGAGCUUGGGUAAGCUUGCCCUAAUCCUGGCUUCUGCUUGUAAGAGCACAAGGUUCUGAAGUUCAAUGUUACGACUUUCUGAAGGUUCUCCUGUUCUGUUCUCUUUUAUGAGCAUUAUAUUUACCUAUCAAAAAGAAAGUGAUGGCAAAUAAGAGAGAAAAAUGAAAAAGAAGUUUGACCUUUUCAGUGCUGGAGAUGUACAACACAUGCUCAGAGCUUCUGAAGGUUACAGACAUUGCUUUCAUUAAAGCUCUAGGACAUAAUCUAAGCUUUCUUCAUUGCAUCACACAUGUACUGUAUGCUGGCAAGCUGAAUUCUACUUUACUGGAGGCAUUUGAGGCAUGCUGUAACUGCAAAUCCAAGAAGUUUGAGUGCAAAAAACCCAUGGUUUAUAAUUAUAAUUGCUUUUAUUUUGGAUUUUCAAAAUGCUAUUUAUCAUCAGUGUACUUGGCAACUCGUCAUUAUUAUUUGAAGAGGCAUUUUUACAUUUAAAUAAUCAUUAGAAUCAUUGAAACCGUAAUAACUUAAAAACAGCCUUAUUUCUUCAUGAAAGUUGCCUGGAAACUAAGAUCUGAAGCUUCAAAUUUAGUGAAGUGAAUGCAUUAAAAUAUCUAUGUUCCUGAGUCCUUAGUAUUUAGACCUUAGUUAGGAAUCAGGAAUACUGUCAGCAGGCCAGAGCACAGCAGAGCUUCAGAAUGAUAGUCAAAAUAGGCAGUAAAGCUGAGGGUGUCAAAGACACUUGUAACCACUUGGUAUCUGCAAAUCAAUAUCACUCCUUGAAAAGAGAUUGAUAAUUUCUGUGGAAUAACAGGGUGGAGUUUAGUACUGUCUUCUGUGCCACAAACAGAAAGGACAGUGAAUAUGUUGUCAUGCUUUAGCCAGGAUCUGGAAAACCCAUCCUUAUUAUGGUUGAAGUAGCUGGAAUGUUUUACUUCUGGCUUUCAAAAAGCACCCUUAUAUCCUGCCUUAAUAUUAUGCAUGAGUGUUCUGUGUGAAAGUGCAUGUUGUGUAGGAGAGCUAAAAAAACAUGAGGCCAGACAGACAGAGCAGGAGGCAGCAUGGCUCUGAGGGUAAUGAUGAUGGUGCUCCCUAACAGAAGGAGUCCUUUCGUCUGCCUUAUGACUUUCUAUGUUUUGUCCAAUAGCUGUAGGAAGUAUGUUGCAGGAAAAUACCACUAAUCCUUGUAGGUUGGAAAAUGAAUAUCAUAUAUAUAUAUAUAUAUAUAUAUAGUGCUUGCAGGUGUUUUUCUUCUAAAGUUGAUGCCUUUACAAUGUUUUGGAAUUAUGUAACCCUAAUUGUUAAUCCUCAUCCCUUUCAGUUUUUCCCAGUCAUUUAAAACAACACCAAGAAUCCCAUUGUCUUUCUGUAGUUCAGGGUAUCUUUCUGGUUGAAAUUAUGUGCUGCUCUUUCCAAAAAGGAAUAAGAAAACAGGCAAAGAACAACUUUGCAGCUUACUUUGAUGAUACUGUGUCAUGUUUAAUCAGUGAAGAUUGAACCAGUCACCUUGAGAUUCUGAGAGCAUUGUUCAAUAGCAUUUAAAACAUUGAUUUUCUGUAACUAUGAAUCCUCUCAAGUAGUCAUUAGACAGGAAGGAAGUUACCUGGGGGUUUUUUGAUACAUAAAAAGUUAGAAAUAUAGAAACCUAGCCUGCAGGAGGCAAGCAGGAAACUGAUGAGAAGUUUGUCAGACCUGAAGCAAAGGUGUAUCUCCCCAGAUUCACAGGGCAGUGGUAUUCAAUUGAUUCUCAGGAAGAGCUAGAACUUUCUGACCUUGCCUCACUUGACGACAAUACUUUUUAGAUAACAAAAAAUGAAGAGAAAGUGGUAAAAAG
ensembl:lncRNA